rnacentral:rRNA from 1 species
GUGGGGGAUAUUGCACAAUGGAGGAAACUCUGAUGCAGCGACGCCGCGUGAGUGAAGAAGUAUUUCGGUAUGUAAAGCUCUAUCAGCAGGGAAGAUAAUGACAGUACCUGACUAAGAAGCCCCGGCUAACUACGUGCCAGCAGCCGCGGUAAUACGUAGGGGGCAAGCGUUAUCCGGAUUUACUGGGUGUAAAGGGAGCGUAGACGGAAUGGCAAGUCUGAAGUGAAAUCCUGCGGCUUAACUGCAGAAUUGCUUUGGAAACUGUCAAUCUGGAGUGUUGGAGAGGUAAGCGGAAUUCCUGGUGUAGCGGUGAAAUGCGUAGAUAUCAGGAAGAACACCGGAGGCGAAGGCGGCUUACUGGACAAUAACUGACGUUGAGGCUCGAAAGCGUGGGAAGCAAACAGGAUUAGAAACCCGGGUAGUCC